GGUCGCUUAGAUCAGUUGGUUAGAUCGUGGUGCUAAUAACGCCAAGGUCAAGGGUUCGACCCCCUUAGUGACCA
rnacentral:tRNA from 3 species